ACCAGCGAAAUUUCUUUGGCAAAUGUGCCUUUGACAAACUUUUCUUGCCCAUGUAAUAAGGAAAUAUGUCGUAGAACAUCGCGUAUUUCCACGAUCUGUACCUGAGUGUAUUAAAAAAGGCAUAAGCAAAGGAAAUGCAAUUAAUCAAGAAUGUGUUAUUUUAACAAUGAAUAUUUUUGGUCUAUCGUGAGUUAAAAUUACUGGUUAGUUCAUCGAAGAAAAGUACAUCAACUUAAGC